GUGCUCACUUCAGCAGCACAAAAUUGGAAAGAUACAGAGAAGAUUAGCAUGGCCCCUGCACAAGGAUGACAUACAAAUUCUGGAAGUGUUCCAUAGUUUU
rnacentral:snRNA from 1 species